AGAGUUUGAUCAUGGCUCAGGAUGAACGCUAGCUACAGGCUUAACACAUGCAAGUCGAGGGGAAACGACAUCGAAAGCUUGCUUUUGAUGGGGCGUCGACCGGCGCAUGGGUGAGUAACGCGUAUCCAACCUGCCCACCACUUGGGGAUAACCUUGCGAAAGUAAGACUAAUACCCAAUGACGUCUCUAGAAGACAUCUGAAAGAGAUUAAAGAUUUAUCGGUGAUGGAUGGGGAUGCGUCUGAUUAGCUUGUUGGCGGGGUAACGGCCACCAAGGCGACGAUCAGUAGGGGUUCUGAGGGAAGGUCCCCCACAUUGGAACUGAGACACGGUCCAAACUCCUACGGGAGGCA
rnacentral:rRNA from 1 species